rnacentral:rRNA from 1 species
UACGGGGGGAGCAAGCGUUGUUCGGAUUUAUUGGGUUUAAAGGGUGCGUAGGCGGCCUUGUAAGUCAGUGCUGAAAUAUCCCGGCUUAACCGGGAGGGUGGCAUUGAUACUGCAGGGCUUGAGUAAAGUUGAGGUUGGCGGAAUUGACGGUGUAGCGGUGAAAUGCUUAGAUAUCGUCAAGAACACCGAUAGUGAAGACAGCUAACUAAGCUUUAACUGACGCUGAGGCACGAAAGUGUGGGGAUCAAACAGG